rnacentral:rRNA from 1 species
AUACGGAGGAUGCGAGCGUUAUCCGGAUUUAUUGGGUUUAAAGGGUGCGCAGGCGGCGCGUUAAGUCAGCGGUGAAAUGCCCCGGCUCAACCGGGGAGCUGCCGUUGAUACUGGCGUGCUGGAGUGCGAACGGCGCCGGCGGAAUGUGCACUGUCGCGGUGAAAUGCAUAGAUAUUGCACAGAACACCGAUCGCGAAGGCAGCUGGCGAGGACGCAACUGACGCUGAGGCACGAAGGCGUGGGGAUCGAACAGGAUUAGAUACCCUGGUAGUCCACACUGUAAACGAUGAUAACUCGCUGUCGGCGAUACACAGUCGGUGGCCAAGCGAAAGCGAUAAGUUAUCCACCUGGGGAGUACGACCGCAAGGUUGAAACUCAAAUGAAUUGGCGGGG